UACGUAGGGUGCAAGCGUUAUCCGGAAUUAUUGGGCGUAAAGAGCUCGUAGGCGGUUUGUCGCGUCUGCUGUGAAAACUGGAGGCUCAACCUCCAGCCUGCAGUGGGUACGGGCAGACUAGAGUGCGGUAGAGGAGAUUGGAAUUCCUGGUGUAGCGGUGGAAUGCGCAGAUAUCAGGAGGAACACCGAUGGCGAAGGCAGAUCUCUGGGCCGUAACUGACGCUGAGGAGCGGAAAGCAUGGGGGAGCAAACAG
rnacentral:rRNA from 1 species